rnacentral:rRNA from 1 species
UGAGGAAUAUUGGUCAAUGGGCGAGAGCCUGAACCAGCCAAGUAGCGUGCAGGAUGACGGCCCUAUGGGUUGUAAACUGCUUUUAUAUGGGGAUAAAGUGGGGAACGUGUUCCCUUUUGCAGGUACCAUAUGAAUAAGGACCGGCUAAUUCCGUGCCAGCAGCCGCGGUAAUACGGAAGGUUCGGGCGUUAUCCGGAUUUAUUGGGUUUAAAGGGAGCGUAGGCCGUUUGGUAAGCGUGUUGUGAAAUGUAGGAGCUCAACUUCUAGAUUGCAGCGCGAACUGGCAGACUUGAGUGCGCACAACGUAGGCGGAAUUCAUGGUGUAGCGGUGAAAUGCUUAGAUAUCAUGACGAACUCCGAUUGCGAAGGCAGCUUACGGGAGCGCAACUGACGCUAAAGCUCGAAGGUACGGGUAUCGAACAGG